GGAAAUUCAACGAGCAUUGUAUCUCCUGCUUCUGUUGUUUAUGAAGAUCAUCCCGAAGGGUAUGAUUGGGAGAGAGGUUGUCUGAUUCGGUGUCAGCUUCGGAUUAAAUUGCCAUUUUGUAUUCCUAUAGUUCUAAUUUGGCAAGUCCUUUAUUUAUGACUUGUUAGGGCUGGGGUUGUGCUUAACGAUCUCUACAAAGUAUCAUUUCAUGGUUCAGACUCGAGCACUAUCUUUCAUAGAAAUUCCUUCUCAUAGUUAUAAAAAGUUCACCACUGGCCACUGGUAAUGUAACAGAGUUUUCAAUAUUGCUGUUACAAUGUGCUAUCUAAGAGUACUGUUUUUCCAUUGAAUCAUUUAUCUAAGAGAGAGAGAGAGAGAGAG
rnacentral:misc_RNA from 1 species